rnacentral:rRNA from 1 species
GACGAACGCUGGCGGCGUGCUUAACACAUGCAAGUCGAACGGAGUGGCGAACGGGUGAGUAACACGCGGGUGACCUGCCCUGCACUUCGGGAUAAGCCUGGGAAACUGGGUCUAAUACCGGAUAGUGUGGGGUGGGCCCGCGGCCUAUCAGGUUGUUGGGGGGGUAAUGGCCUAACAAGGCGGCGAUGGGUAGCCGGCCUGAGAGGGUGGACGGCCACAUUGGGACUGAGGCACGGGCCAGACGCCUACGAGGGGCGGCAGUGGGAAAUAGUGCACAAUGGGCGGAAACCUGAUGCAGCGGAGCCGCGUGAUUUAAAAGGCCUGAGGGUUGUAGAAAUCUUUUAUAUGGGAAGCAGUACCAUAAGAGUAAGGACCGGCUAAUUACGUGCCAGCAGCCGCGGUAAUAC